rnacentral:rRNA from 1 species
GACGAACGCUGGCGGCGUGCUUAACACAUGCAAGUCGAGCGGUAAGGCCCUUUCGGGGUACACGAGCGGCGAACGGGUGAGUAACACGUGGGUGACCUGCCCUCAGCUCUGGGAUAAGCCUGGGAAACCGGGUCUAAUACUGGAUAUGACUCCAUGACGCAUUGUUGUGGGUGAAANCCUUGUGCGGACUGAGGAUGGGCCCGCGGCCUAUCAGUCUUGUUGGUGGGGUGANGGCCUACCAAGGCGACGACGGGUAGCCGGCCUGAGAGGG